rnacentral:lncRNA from 1 species
AAACACCGAGCUCCCCCUGAGCCGCCUGGGAGCAGGGAGGGUUCUGCUACCCUGAGGUGCCCUCCCCGCGGGGCAGAGGGUGGGAGGAAGUCACAGCAUGUGCUUCUGAACCUGUGCUUGCCUUGAGGAACAACGGCAUGACACGGGGAUGUGGACGCUUUCAACCAGAAGAUUCUGUACGAUAGUGUCGGCACACAAGGAGUGUUCCGCUGACUGACCUCUUUUUGUUUUCAAAUGAAGAGGAGCCAAGAAUAGGACAGCUUGGGAAGCUCAUCCUCGUCUACGGCCAAACGUUGGUUUCUCAUUUCUAGAAUGAAAGAUGUGAUGACUUAGGGAAAACUGGGAUCUUAGUAACUGUGGUGGGCACUGAGCCUUGCCGUCCACAAGAGAAAGCUUGCUGCUCGAGAUGUGAGUCUUCAGAUGUUCCUGCCGCCAUAUCUGACAGCUGCUGCCAAGAUUCCCUGGUGGGAUGGACUCUUAUACCUCGACAACCAGAAGCCCAAGUAAACUCUUCUAUAAAUUGAAUGACUCAUGCUU